CACGGAGAAAGCGAAAAUGGGACAUACACAGUGGGAAGGUGCACGACUGCCCCCAUCAGGCAGGUUGAUGUCAGUGCCUGAACAACACUGCAGUCUAGAGAAUGGUGUACUAUAGUGCUCAAAGUGUCCAAACAUCAUGCCGCCUAAGUAUUUGAGGAAAACAUUUGAAGCAGUCUACAGAUAUUUACAGUACACCUCAGAAGCCACGGUUAAAAGUGAGCAUUUUUCGUCAUGAAACAAAUGCUUCAAGACACGCCUAAAAUCACUCAGGUAUGUAUGGAGAAAGCAGUUUUGUGCUAUUUGUGUUAUUUUGAUAUUUUCUUUAUUGUAUUAAAUAAAAGGUCAACUAUAAUCACAUUAAGUCAGUAAAAGAGUUAAAAAGUGUGACUGAGCAGUUUCAGGCAAAACAAUACUUCCAUCCAAGUCCUUCCUCUGCUGAAUGACUUAAUGGGACGACUGCUCAUUAAGGUCUCUCCAGUGUGGGCUGUUGUUGUAUUAAGACACCUGUAUAAUACGCUUGCAUUUAAAAUGAUCUGUCACGUCUCUCCCCAAUGUGGAAUCACAAUCCCAUCAUUGUCGAGCGUCACCUAAAACAUUUUAACGAAUAAACAUUUCUUAAUGAUCUCUAUCAUAGCGAUAUUCAUAUUACAUCUGAAAUACCAGAUGUUAAGUUGGCAUUCCUCUUAAGUGGUCAGGAAACAUGCACCCUUUAAA